rnacentral:rRNA from 1 species
UACGGAGGGUGCCAGCGUUAUCCGGAUUUACUGGGUUUAAAGGGUGCGUAGGUGUCCCGACAAGUUUUCGGUGAAAUCCUCUGGCUUAACUUGAGAAUGGCCGGAAAAACUGUCGGGAUUGAAUGUAGUUGAGGUGGGCGGAAUGUGCCAUGUAGCGGUGAAAUGCGUAGAUAUGGCACAGAACACCUAUUGCGAAGGCAGCUCACUAAACUGUCAUUGACACUGAGGCACGAAAGCGUGGGGAGCAAACAGG